rnacentral:tRNA from 2 species
GGCUGCGUAGCUCAGGGGCAGAGCAAUCGUUUCAUAAGCGAUGGGCCGGUGGUUCGAAUCCACCCGCAGCCA